AAGAGAGGGGUGAAACCCUAAUUCAAGAAAACCUUCAAAUUGAAGGGGGAAAUAAGCCCUAAUCUGAUGCAUGGACUUAGAUUCUUGAUCAUCUAAGAGUUCUCUACAUAAGGAGUCAUGUCAAGACGGACUCAAGCAUGAAAGGCUAACGGGUCAAGAGGAGGCAAGGAAUCGGAUACAAACCCGGAUGCACAAGGUAGUACGAGUCAUGAGGAUCAUCAAGGAACAGAGAUCGAGGA